AAAAAUAAAAUUUUUUCAUUUUCUUUAAUUAUUGACCAUAAACGGACAGGGCUGCGAUUUGCUAUCUAAAACGGGUGGUGCUCCGUGUUUGGUAGCCAAAGAGAGUGAGGAAGCGUGAUAGGGAGCUGGAGAGAGUGAGGAAACGUGAUGGGGAGUCGGAGGGAAAGGCCAGAGAGAGUGAAGAAGCGUGAUGGGGAGCCAUAGAGAGUGAGGAAAUGUGAUGGGGAGCCGGAGGGAGAGACCAGAGAGAGUGAGGAAGUGUGAUAGGGAGCGAUGAUCUGAAGAGAGUAAGGAUAAAGUCGAGACAGAGAGAGUGAUACACGUGAACAUAUUCGAGGAAGUGUGAUAGGGAGCGAUGAUAUGAAGAGAGUAAGGAUAAAGUCAAGAUAUAGAGAGUGAUACACGUGAACAUAUUCAACUUUUUGUCAUUUUCACUUUUUUUUUAAAUUUUUUUUAACAAUAAAAAAUAUCUACAACAUUGAGAGAGAGAGAGACGAAGCGACAUCACAAAUUACCGUUUCUCUCAGCAUUCUAGAUAUUUAGCACGACUCUUUUAUUUUUAUAUUAAUUUGAUUUAGAUAUGAAGUUGCAGACCUACAAAGGCUAUUUUAGAACUUAUCAAAGCUGAAUCUGAAAAUCUUAUAAGUGUGUUAUGGUUUGAUGUGAAUUAAAAAUCUUAGGUUAAAGUUCUUUGCCAUUGCAACGAGAUAUGGUUUUGAUGCCUGAACUCAUAAAGCCCAAGAUGAUGUAAUAGAUAAAGAACACGAGGAAAAGAUAUUCUUUGAGCUUUUUUGAGAAAUAUUUUGGAUAUCUUUGUGGCUACUGGACUGAGCAAAUCGAUUGGCUGCUAAGAACAGAAUUUUGAAAGAACAAAUAUUUACUAAGCCAUCAUAUUGGAUUCUUGAAUAUUUGAGUCCAAAAUUUUACCGUUAAUGAUAUAAAAAUAUUUAAUUUAUAUCAUGCUUAGUGAUUUAUGAGAGAUUUACUCCUUCUUCACGUUCAAAAAUUGGUUUGCUUCAAA
rnacentral:lncRNA from 1 species